rnacentral:misc_RNA from 1 species
GACGGAGUAGAAAAUUUUGGGGGAAAAAAGAAAAAGGAGGUGGUCUCGUGAUCGGACGUCCGUCGUUGACCCUGAUUAUUGUUUAGCUAAAUAUCCAGCGGUUCUCUCGUACAUUUCCNNNNNUCUCUUUUAUUUUUCUUUUCAUUUCCUUCGAUUUCUUUUUCUAUUGGAAACGCAAAACUUCCACACGCUCUCUUUUCUCGCUUUUCUUAACCCA